rnacentral:rRNA from 1 species
AAUGAACGCUGGCGGCGUGCUUAACACAUGCAAGUCGCACGAGAACUCUUCUGCUUGCAGAAGAUAGUAAAGUGGCGCACGGGUGAGUAACGCGUGGGUAAUCUGCCUUCAAAUCGGGGAUAACAUUGCGAAAGUGAUGCUAAUACCGGAUAAUGUCUGUUAAACUUUGGUUUAUAAGAUUAAAGGUGGCCUCUAUAUAUAAGCUUCCGUUUGAAGAUGAGCCCGCGUACCAUUAGCUUGUUGGUAGGGUAAUGGCCUACCAAGGCGACGAUGGUUAGCUGGUCUGAGAGGAUGAUCAGCCACACUGGAACUGACACACGGUCCAGACUCCUACGGGAGGCAGCAGUGAGGAAUUUUGCGCAAUGGGGGAAACCCUGACGCAGCAACGCCGCGUGAGUGAUGAAGGCCUUCGGGUCGUAAAGCUCUGUCAAGUGGGAAGAACUUGCAUAAAACGAAUAUGGUUAUGCAUUGACGGUACCACUGAAGGAAGCACCGGCUAACUCCGUGCCAGCCGCCGCGGUAAAAC